rnacentral:rRNA from 1 species
CUACGGGCUGCAGCAGUUAGGAAUAAUCUACAAUGCACGAAAGUGUGAUAGUUUGAGUCAAAGUGCGUUUCAAUUUGAAAUGCUUUUAUGGAAUGUAAAAAGUUCCACGAAUAAGGACUGGGUAAGACAGGUGCCAGCCGCCGCGGCAAUACCUGCGGUCCAAGUCGCAGCCAUUUUUAUUGGGUCUAAAACAUCCGUAGCUUGCUUGGUAAGUUUCUUGUGAAAUUCCAUAUCUUAAAUAUGGAGCGGGCAGGAAGUACUGCCAAGCUAGAGACCGGGAGACGUAAGAAGUACGUUCGAAGUAGCGGUAAAAUGUGUUAAUCUCGAGCGGACUCACAACAGCGAAGGCAUCUUACGAGAACAGUUCUGACAGUAAGGGAUGAAGGCUAGGGGCGCAAAACGGAUUAGAUACCCUCGUAGUC